UCUGUGCCAGGCCUGUAGAAUGGGGUCCUGGACUUUCCUGUCAGAACAUACAUUACUUACCAUUUUUCCAGGGCCUCCUCUGGCUCCUGGUCUUCAAGUCCCAUAACUGUGCUAGACCAUAGGAUGAAAUCCUGGUCUUUCCUUACUCUGUGCCAGGCCUGUAGACUGGGGCCUGGACUUGCUUACUCUGUGCCAGGCCUGUAGCAUGGGGCCUGGUCUUCCUGUCUUGGACUAAUUGGGUCAUCCAACAUUCACCCACAACAACAACAAUUUAUGCAAUGCGGCAU
rnacentral:lncRNA from 1 species